UUGCAUAACACACCCAAACAAAGGCAGCGUCUGGAGCCACUUUGACAAACAUGUGGACUACCUUGCAGGAGUGAACGACGUGGCUGACCGAGCCACAAAAAGACAGAAAGUGUUUGCAUAAAGGAGGUGGAGAAAGACGAGAGAGGCACACAAGAACGACUCCGGCUAGUGAAAAGCAGAAAACAUCUUUGGAAGAAUUUAAUCUCGACCUGAAGAAUUAUGUCCCUAUGAUCCCUGAUCUCAGACAUAGGACCUCUGGAUGAUGAACUGAUCACUCCAACAACGAGUAUAACUCCUUCAGUGGGGAAAUGCCAUGCUGUCAACUUGUCUGCUCAGUCCUGGGUGGUCACAGUUUGGCCUAGGCUGAGUGUGUGACAACAACACACACUCACACAGACAAGUUAAUAUCCUGCCCUGCUCUCUCACAACUAACCUCUGGCUUCGAUUUCGCUACAAAUAAAAAAGUAUGGCAGUUGUCCUUGUUGCCUCAUAAGGAUGGACCCCAAAGACCAAGCAGUGAGUCUCCUAAACAAGAUUUGGGCCAAGCUGCAAAGUCUGCCAAACUCCAGCCCCAUCGAGCUGGGAGCUUUCCUCGUCCUCUUGACAUUCAUCGCGGUGUUCCUUACCAUGAUGGUGGUGACCUGUGCGUGCUGCUGCUGCUGCUGCUGCCGGAAAGCCAGACGAAAGGGUGCGGACUUUUAAAGGCAUUUGAACUACAUGCCAAAAUGUUAAACAGGUUUUUUCCCCAAGGCUACCAAGUGUCAGGAUGAGAACUUGUGCGAGGAGUCGUGCUCAUAAGUCAGGCCGGGCAACAAGUGUGUGUCCAGCCCUCCAAAACAAAGCAACUGUCACUAACACGGAUGUUCUGCUUACUGCUAAACCCCCAGACUUUCAGGAAUAUCGGCAGUCCUUGGAGCGCUCAUGUACAAUAACAUCAUUCUUGACCAGAGGACCUGAGACCAAUCCAAUUUCAAAGGGGAACUACCCUUUUUUUUGUUUUUUUUUUGUUUACAAUCCUUAUGUAAGACAGCAACACGUAUGUUCAAAGUUCCCUCUAAGGUGGGCGCCUGCCCAAUCUGAACUGUAAACAAAAACAAAAAAACACAUAGCUAUUUGUUCUGUAGGGAUUUGCGAAGCAACUGUCAGUGGCCAUAACAGAAAAAAGAAUUUUGUCAACACUGUUAGGUUUUUGUCAAGACACUUUAAGGAGGACAGGGAUCUCAUUGAUCACUUUAUUGAAAAAAAAUUGUUUGUCGGCCGUAAACACACCAUAAAACAUUAGUAAAAAACUUCUGUCUAGCUCGGAGGUCAGCAACCUGUGGCUCUAGAGCCACAUGCAGUUAGAGUGUCCGCCCAGAGAUCGGUAGGUUGUGAGUUCAAACCCAGGCCGAGUCAUACCAAAGACUAUAGAAAUGGGACCCAUUACCUCCCUGCUUGGCACUCAACAUCAAGGGUUGGAAUUGGGGGUUAAAUCACCAAAAUGAUUCCCGAGCGCGGCCACCGCUGAUGCUCACUGCUUCCCUCACCUCCCAGGAGGUGGAACAAGUGGAUGGGUCAAAUGCAGAGGACACAUUUCACCACACAUGAUGUGUGUGACUAUCAGUAGUACUUUAACUUCUUUUUUUUUUUUAGCUCUGACCUUGUAGCUCCCCGGAAGUUUUUCAAAAAAUGCAUACACAUUUUUGUUUUAAUAUGGUUUCUUUAGAAGCACAAACAUUGCACACACCUUCCUAACUGUUAGAAAUCCCACUGUUUAUAUUACACAUGCUUUACUGAUGAGAGUAUUUGGCGAGCGCUGUUUUGUCCUAAAUUCAGCGGUCUCUGAACUUGCCGUAUUUUGAUUACAGUACAACUUUCUGCGACACUGCCACAGAAAGACAUGUUUUAUGCCACUCCUUCUUUGUCUAAUUUUGUCCAACAAACCUUGUAUGCUUUGCAUGAAUGCACAAAGGUGAGCUUCGUAUUGACUUGUGUGGAGUGCUAAUCAGGCAUAUUUGGUCACUGCAUGAUUGCAAGCUAAUCGAUGCUAACGUGCUAGCUAGACCAGUGGUCCCCAACCACCCGUCCGUGACACAUUUGCUACCGGGCCGCAGAAAAACCUUAAAUAAUUUAUAAACGACUGCAUUUUCUUCAACUUAACUUUCGCUUGUCCCACGAGAUACAUAAGCUUGUUUACAGGAACUCCAUCCAUCGACCCAUCCAUUUUCUACUGCUUUUGGGGUCGCUAGAGUCUAUCUCAGCUGUAUUCAGGGGUUAUAUUUUUUAUAACUUUGUGACAUGAUACAAUGCAGAUUAAUGAGCAUAUACAAUAUAAAAUGUGACAGAUUGUCGCCAAAGGCUGAUUUCCAUCUGCAUCUCAUUGCAAAGAAACAAACCCAGGGCUCCCACUAAUUCAGCAUUAUAGUAAGUUGUAUUUUAAUGCACUUAUUUUUGCUGUAUUUAUCUGGCACAAGUGUAAAGCUGGUCCCUAAAAGUAAUGCCAGGCCGUGGUGCAAAAAAGGUUGGGGACAACGGAUCUAGACUAGCUGUAUGUACAUAUUGCAUCAUCAUGCCACGCUUGUAAGUAUAUUUAAGCUCAUUUCGUUUCCUUUACUUAUGUCCUCUGUGUAUUCAAUUUAUAUUUGCAUGUCUCAUGAGGGCUUCACGGUGGCAGAGGGGUUAGUGCGUCUGCCUGGCAGUACGAAGGUACUGAGUAGUCCUGGGUUUAAUCUCGGGCUCGGGAUCUUUCUGUGUGGAGUUUGCAUGUCCUCCCCGUGAAUGCGUGGGUUCCUUCUGGGUACUCCGACUUCCUCCCACUUCCAAAGACAUGCACCUGGGGAUAGGUUGAUUGGCAACACUAAAUUGGCCCUAGUGUGUGAAUGUGAGUGUGAAUGUUAUCUGUCUAUCUGUGUUGGCCCUGCGAUGAGGUGGCGACUUGUCCAGGGUGUACCCCGCCUCCCGCCCAAUUGUAGCUGAGAUAGGCACCAGCGCCCCCCGCGACCCCAAAGGGAAUAAGCGGCAGAAAAUGGAAUGAUGGAUGGAUUAUGAGAAUGUGAUUUAAAUCAAAACAGCGCUUUUAUUGCAGAACAGUAAAUGUUUUACUGCCUGUAAUUUAAAGAAUUAAGUUUAUUGCAGUUACAUGUUGGCUAUCAUCCUGAAACCACAACGUUCUGCUAUACAUGCAACAAGUGAUUAUAGUGGCCAGGUGUGCCAUCUGCUUGACAUGUAAAGUGCAUUAUUGUAUUUGUCAUGCUGUCUUUAAAACAAACAAGGGGAUACAUUUUUGUAUGUGUGAUUCAUUCACUUACCUUUCCUGCUCGCAAAAGGACACCAUGGCUUCAAGGUCUUUAAUGGCUGCUUUGUCACAUUCUUUUGCCGAGUUGCGCUUUUCCUGCAAGCAAAAGACAGGUACACCUUUUAAAUCAGGGGUCUCAAACUCAAUUUAUCUGGGGGCCACUGGAUGCAGAAACUGGGUAAGGCUGGGCCGCAAGAAAAUAUUUCUUAAAAAAUCCAACAUGCACUUGUUAAUCAAUUCACCUUCUAUAAAUGGCUUUCUUGCCCUAGCAACAUACUUGCCAAUCCUCACGAUUUUUCCGGGAGACUCCUGAAUUUCAGUGCACCUCCCGACAAUCUACCGGUGCAACCAUUCUCCCGAAUUUUUCCCAAUUUUCACCUGGCUUACAUUAUUAAGGGCUGUCGUGAUUGCACUGCCUUUAACGUCCUCUACAACAGUGGUUCUCAACCCCCUGUGAACAUUUUUUUAAUUCAAGUACCCCCUAAUCACAGCAAAGCAUUUUUGGUUGAAAAAAGGAGAUAAAGAAGUAAAAUACAGCACUAUGUCAUCAGUUUCUGAUUUAUUAAUUUGUAUAACAGUGCAAAAUAUUGCUAAUUUGUAGUGGUCUUUCUUGAACUAUUUGGAAAAAAAUAUUUAAAAAAUAACUAAAAAACUUGUUGAAAAAUAAACAAGUGUUUCAAUUAUAAAUAAAGAUUUCUACACAUACUGUAGAAGUAAUCAUCAACUUAAAGUGCCCUCUUUGGGGAUUGUAAUAGAGAUACAUUCAAGAACUUUUUCUAAACAUGUCUUCACAAAAAAAGAAAUCUUUAACAUCAUUAAUUAUGGAACAUGUCCACAAAAAGUCUAGCUGUCAACACUGAAUGUUGGAUAGUUGUAUUACUUUUCCACAGUUUAUGAACUUACAUUCAUACUUCAUUGAAGUAUUAUUCAAUAAACAUAUGUAUAAAGGA